UACAGAGGUGGCGAGCGUUGUUCGGAUUUACUGGGCGUAAAGGGUGCGUAGGUGGUUUCGUAUGUCGGAUGUGAAAUCCCAUUGCUCAUCGGUGGAACUGCAUUCUAAACUGCGGGACUAGAGUACAGGAGAGGAGAGCGUAAUUCUUGGUGUAGCGGUGAAAUGCGUUGAUAUCAAGAAGAACACCGGUGGCGAAGGCGGCUCUCUGGAAUGUUACUGACACUGAGGCACGAAAGCUGGGGGAGCAAGCAGGAUUAGAUACCCUGGUAGACCCAGCCCUAAACGGUGUACACUUGGUGUGGGGAGAUUUGACCCUCCCCGUGCCGUAGCUAACGCGUUAAGUGUACCGCCUGGGGAGUACGGCCGCAAGGCUAAAACUCAAAGAAAUUGACGGGGGCCCGCACAAGCGGAGGAGCAUGUGGCUUAAUUCGAUGCAACGCGAAGAACCUUACCUGGGCUUGACAUGCAGCUGCAGGCCCCGGGAAACCGGGGCGGCCUUCGAGGGUGCUGCACAGGUGCUGCAUGGCUGUCGUCAGUUCGUGCCGUGAGGUGUUUGGUUAAGUCCAGCAACGAACGCAACCCCUAUGUUUAGUUGCCACUCCCAAUGAUGAGUCGGGAAGCACUUUAGACAGACUGCCCGUGUAAGCGGGAGGAAGGUGGGGAUGACGUCAAGUCAGUAUGGCCCUUACGCCCAGGGCUGCACACGUGCUACAAUGGAAGUUACAGAGGGAUGCGAAACCGCGAGGUGGGGCAAAUCCUCAAAAACUUCCUCAGUUCAGAUUGGAGUCCGCAACUCGACUCCAGGAAGUCGGAUUCGCUAGUAAUGGCGCAUCAGCUACGGCGCCGUGAAUACGUUCCCGGGCCU
rnacentral:rRNA from 1 species